rnacentral:rRNA from 1 species
AGACGGAGGGGGCUAGCGUUGUUCGGAAUUACUGGGCGUAAAGCGCGCGUAGGCGGAUUGAUCAGUCAGAGGUGAAAUCCCAGGGCUCAACCCUGGAACUGCCUUUGAUACUGUCAGUCUUGAGUUCGGGAGAGGUGAGUGGAAUUCCGAGUGUAGAGGUGAAAUUCGUAGAUAUUCGGAGGAACACCAGUGGCGAAGGCGGCUCACUGGCUCGGUACUGACGCUGAGGUGCGAAAGCGUGGGGAGCAAACAGGAUUAGAAACCCGAGUAGUCC